rnacentral:rRNA from 1 species
AUGUUGCUAUGUGCCUGUUUUGUUCAAAUGCAUACUGUGUUAGUUGCUACCUGCUGCAAGUAUCUCUUUUCUUCUUCUAUUCUCAGUCCUCCAGGCCUCUGCUUGCUUGUGCUCUUAUUAAUGCCAUUUGUUAGCCUUGUAGGAUUUUUAGUUUCUUCUUGUGGACGAUCCUCAGGUCUAGCAAGACCACACAUGCAGAAUUUUUUUGUCUUUAUUGUUUUUUGUUACCUUGUUGUCAAAGAGAGAUGUUCAGGUCUGUCUAGGUUCCAAAGAAGAUAUUCUUCUUUGAUUUGUUUCUUGUUGUGGAGGAGCCUCAAUUCUAGCUAA